AGAUACGUUGUCGAGCAAGUACCGAACCAUCAUGGCCAAUGUACCCAUAAUGAUCUUCCUCACGGUCUGCCAUGUUGUGCUCUUGCCCUGGCUAGCUGUCGCCCUUGGGCCAAUGGAGGGUUCUUCACCUUCGCCAUCGUACCUGCCGCAAAGCUGUCGUGUGUCACUUUUAUAUGGAUCGUCCCUGAGUCAGCGAGAUGGCUGUUGAGUCAAGGGAGAGUUGAAGACGCCGUCGCCAUCCUCAAGAAAGCCGGGAGGGUCAA